UACGUAGGGUGCGAGCGUUAAUCGGAAUUACUGGGCGUAAAGCGUGCGCAGGCUGUUUUGUAAGUCAGAUGUGAAAUCCCUGGGCUCAACCUAGGAACUGCGUUUGAAACUACAAGGCUAGAGUGUAGCAGAGGGGGGGUAGAAUUCCACGUGUAGCAGUGAAAUGCGUAGAGAUGUGGAGGAAUACCAAUGGCGAAGGCAGCCCCCCUGGGUUAACACUGACGCUCAUGCACGAAAGCGUGGGGAGCAAACAGG
rnacentral:rRNA from 1 species